GAUGAACGCUGGCGGCGUGCCUAAUACAUGCAAGUCGAGCGAAUGGAUUAAGAGCUUGCUCUUAUGAAGUUAGCGGCGGACGGGUGAGUAACACGUGGGUAACCUGCCCAUAAGACUGGGAUAACUCCGGGAAACCGGGGCUAAUACCGGAUAACAUUUUGAACCGCAUGGUUCGAAAUUGAAAGGCGGCUUCGGCCGUCACUUAUGGAUGGACCCGCGUCGCAUUAGCUCGUUGGUGGGGUAACGGCUCACCAAGGCAACGAUGCGUAGCCGACCUGAGAGGGUGAUCGGCCACACUGGGACUGAGACACGGCCCAGACUCCUACGGGAGGCAGCAGUAGGGAAUCUUCCGCAAUGGACGAAAGUCUGACGGAGCAACGCCGCGUGAGUGAUGAAGGCUUUCGGGUCGUAAAACUCUGUUGUUAGGGAAGAACAAGUGCUAGUUGAAUAAGCUGGCACCUUGACGGUACCUAACCAGAAAGCCACGGCUAACUACGUGCCAGCCGCCGCAGUAA
rnacentral:rRNA from 1 species